rnacentral:piRNA from 1 species
UGAAACUAAUUCUGUUAACUGUAUAAAAA